rnacentral:rRNA from 1 species
UGGGGAAUUUUGGACAAUGGGGGAAACCCUGACCCAGCCAUCCCGCGUGUGCGAUGAAGGCCUUCGGGUUGUAAAGCACUUUUGGCAGGAAAGAAACGUCAUGGGUUAAUACCCCGUGAAACUGACGGUACCUGCAGAAUAAGCACCGGCUAACUACGUGCCAGCAGCCGCGGUAAUACGGAGGGUGCAAGCGUUAGUCGGAAUUACUGGGCGUAAAGCGUGCGCAGGCGGUUCGGAAAGAAAGAUGUGAAAUCCCAGAGCUCAACUUUGGAACUGCAUUUUUAACUACCUGGCUAGAGUGUGUCAGAGGGAGGUGGAAUUCCGCGUGUAGCAGUGAAAUGCGUAGAUAUGCGGAGGAACACCGAUGGCGAAGGCAGCCUCCUGGGAUAACACUGACGCUCAUGCACGAAAGCGUGGGGAGCAAACAGG